rnacentral:rRNA from 1 species
CCAAUAGCGUAUAUUAAAGUUGUUGCAGUUAAAAAGCUCGUAGUUGAAUUUCGAGACCGGUCUACUGGUCGUGCUUUUGUACGUACUGGUAUAAUCGGUUUCUCUCUUCUGAUGAACUAUAAUGCCAUUAAUUUGGUAUUUUAGGGAAUCAGGACUGUUACUUUGAAAAAAUUAGAGUGUUUAAAGCAGGCUCACGCUUG